rnacentral:rRNA from 1 species
UACGAAGGGGGCGAGCGUUGUUCGGAUUUAUUGGGCGUAAAGGGCGCGUAGGCGGCUUGGCAAGUGGAAGGUGAAAUCCCUCGGCUUAACCGAGGAACUGCCCUCCAAACUGCUUCGCUUGAGACCGGGAGAGGUGAGUGGAAUUCCCAGUGUAGCGGUGAAAUGCGUAGAUAUUGGGAGGAACACCAGUGGCGAAGGCGGCUCACUGGACCGGUACUGACGCUGAUGCGCGAAAGCGAUGGGGAGCAACGGGGGAUUAAGUGAUCCUA